rnacentral:rRNA from 1 species
AUGGUCAAGCUACAAAGAGCACAAGGGGAAUGCCUUGGCAUCGGGAGCCGAAGAAGGACGCGACUAACUGCGAUAAGC